GCUAGUUGGUGCUUUCUCCGGGAUGGAAACGUUAGCCAGGAGUAGCCCAGGAGCCCUAGCCAGGAGAUGGGUCUAGCAUGGGCUAGCCCCAGGCUAGUUGGUGCUUUCUCCGGGACGGAAACGUUAGCCAGGAGUAGCCCAGGAGCCCUAGCCAGGAGAUGGGUCUACUAGCAUGGGCUAGCUCCAGGCUAGUUGGUGCUUUCUCCGGGACGGAAACGUUAGCCAGGAGUAGCCCAGGAGCCCUAGCCAGGAGAUGGGCCUAGCAUGGGCUAGCUCCAGGCUAGUUGGUGCUUUCUCCGGGACGGAAAC
rnacentral:lncRNA from 1 species